rnacentral:rRNA from 1 species
GAAUCUUAGACAAUGGGCGCAAGCCUGAUCUAGCCAUGCCGCGUGAGCGAUGAAGGCCUUAGGGUUGUAAAGCUCUUUCACCGGGGAAGAUAAUGACGGUACCCGGAGAAGCAGCCCCGGCUAACUCCGUGCCAGCAGCCGCGGUAAUACAGAGGGUGCGAGCGUUAAUCGGAAUUACUGGGCGUAAAGCGCACGUAGGUGGCGACGUAAGUCGGGUGUGAAAGCCCCGGGCUCAACCUGGGAAUUGCAUUCGAGACUGCAUUGCUGGAGUACGGAAGAGGAGGGCGGAAUUCCCGGUGUAGCGGUGAAAUGCGUAGAUAUCGGGAGGAACAUCAGUGGCGAAGGCGGCCCUCUGGUCCAGUACUGACACUCAAGUGCGAAAGCGUGGGGAGCAAACAGG